UACGAAGGGGGCGAGCGUUGUUCGGAAUUACUGGGCGUAAAGGGCGCGUAGGCGGCCCCUUUUGUCGCGUGUGAAAGCCCCGGGCUCAACUCGGAGACGCCACUCGAUACUGCUAUGACUUGAGUCCGGUAGGGGAGUGCGGAAUUCCUGGUGUAGCGGUGAAAUGCGCAGAUAUCAGGAGGAACACCGGUGGCGAAGGCGGGAUCCUGGGCCAGUACUGACGCUGAGGAGCGAAAGCGUGGGGAGCAAACAGG
rnacentral:rRNA from 1 species